CGCGGGGUGGAGCAGCCUGGUAGCUCGUCGGGCUCAUAACCCGAAGGUCGUCGGUUCAAAUCGUUUUUUUGUAUCUGGCGUUUGUGAAAAUGCCGGGCGUGAUACCCGGCUUAAUGCCCUACCCCCGCCG
rnacentral:tRNA from 1 species